rnacentral:rRNA from 1 species
AUGCAAGUCGAACGCUGAUUGUUAGGUAGCAAUAUUUGACAGUCGGAGUGGCGCAAGGGUGCUUAACACGUGGGUAAUUUACCGUGAAGCCCGGGAUAACUUGCUGAAAGGCGAGCUAAUACCGGAUGUGACUGCCGGGAGGCAUCUCUUGGCAUUCGAAGUUGGGGACCGCAAGGCCUGACACUUUACGAUAAGCCCGCGGCCUAUCAGCUAGUUGGCGGGGUAACGGCCCACCAAGGCUAUGACGGGUAGCUGGUCUGAGAGGACGACCAGCCACACUGGAACUGAGACACGGUCCAGACACCUACGGGUGGCAGCAGUCGAGAAUUUUUCACAAUGGGCGAAAGCCUGAUGGAGCGACGCCGCGUGGGGGAUGAAUGGCUUCGGCCCGUAAACCCCUGUCAUUUGCGAAUAAACCUUUUGUCAAAAUAUGGCAAAAGCUGAUUGUAGCAGAAGAGGAAGGGACGGCUAACUCUGUGCCAGCAGCCGCGGUAAUACAGAGGUCCCGAGCGUUGUUCGGAUUCACUGGGCGUAAAGGGUGCGUAGGUGGUGAGGUAAGUUUGUGGUGAAAGCUCCGGGCCUAACCCGGAAAAUGCCUCGAAUACUAUCUUGCUAGAGGGUUGUAGGGGAGACUGGAAUUCUCGGUGUAGCAGUGAAAUGCGUAGAUAUCGAGAGGAACACCAGUGGCGAAGGCGAGUCUCUGGACAACUCCUGACACUGAGGCACGAAAGCCAGGGGAGCAAACGGGAUUAGAUACCCCGGUAGUCCUGGCCCUAAACGGUGCGCACUUGCUGUGAGCGGAUUCGACCCCGCUCGUGGCGAAGUUAACACGAUAAGUGCGCCGCCUGGGAAGUACGGUCGCAAGAUUAAAACUCAAAGAAAUUGACGGGGGCCUGCACAAGCGGUGGAGUAUGUGGCUUAAUUCGAUGCAACGCGAAGAACCUUACCUGGCCUUGACAUGUACGUAGUAGAAGCCUGAAAGGGUGACGAGGUAGCAAUACCAGCGUACACAGGUGCUGCAUGGCUGUCGUCAGCUCGUGUCGUGAGAU